AUUGAACGCUGGCGGCAUGCCUUACACAUGCAAGUCGAACGGUAACAGGUCUUCGGAUGCUGACGAGUGGCGAACGGGUGAGUAAUACAUCGGAACGUGCCUAGUAGUGGGGGAUAACUACUCGAAAGAGUGGCUAAUACCGCCUGAGAUCUACGGAUGAAAGCAGGGGAUCGCAAGACCUUGUGCUACUAGAGCGGCCGAUGGCAGAUUAGGUAGUUGGUGGGAUAAAAGCUUACCAAGCCGACGAUCUGUGGCUGGUCUGAGAGGACGAUCAGCCGCACUGGGACUGAGAAACGGCCCAGACUCCUACGGGAGGCAGCAGUGGGGAAUUUUGGACAAUGGGCGCAAGCCUGAUCCAGCAAUGCCGCGUGCAGGAUGAAGGCCUUCGGGUUGUAAACUGCUUUUGUACGGAACGAAAAGCCCCGGGUUAAUACCCUGGGGUCAUGACGGUACCGUAAGAAUAAGCACCGGCUAACUACGUGCCAGCCGCCGCAGUAAGAC
rnacentral:rRNA from 1 species